GAGGGUAGAGCUCAGUGGUAGAGCACGUGCUUAGCACACGUGAGGCUCUGGGUUCAGUCCCCAGUACCUCCA
rfam:Camelus ferus unplaced genomic scaffold scaffold60782, whole genome shotgun sequence.